UGCAUGGAUGAGAUCACAUGAUGGAUGGGGAGGAACAUAUGGCGUUUAGCUCGGGGUCCUCGCCGAAGGUGACUCAGCGCUUGCGCUGUGAGGGGAGAAUUCAGGGACUCCGGGACAAAUCAGAUGUAGGAGAAAAGGUAUUGUUGACGGUACCGUGUCUGUGGGCGGGGGCAUGCUGGACAGGGCCGAGAGAGGAAGUUGGAUCGUUUCUCCUUGACACUUGAAGCGGAGCAGGCCAGAAGUGCCAUUCAGUAGUUUGACAGAGAUUGAAUCUGAGACCUGUGGACACCAAAAGAAAGGAUUUGCAGUUGUGAAAAUAUCUUCUUCUGCAGCCUAAGCCAAAUUAUAAGUGGAAAGAAACACAGAUUUACCCUCAACCCUCACCUGUAUGAGAACCCUCUCCUUGGAGCCCGAACCUCCCAGCCAGGACCACUCUUUGGUCACGGUGCCGUCCGGGCCACAAAGCUUCCCCCCAGCUCGGUCCCAAAGAGCCGAGACGACCCCACUAGAGCCAAGAGACACGACCAACACUGGCUGAACUUAUAAACUCGAAAUGUUUAAAACUUGUGAUGUUUGUACAAUGUAUUGAAGCGUUGUAUAUACAGUGUUUCAGACUUUUGUGAUGAAGAUAUGUUUUUUGUACUGCAGGUGUGUUUAUAUGUCUGUGUAUUGUUAUUUAUUUUAUGUGGACCCCAGGAAGAAGAGCGACCACAGCUGUGGAAGCUAACGGGGAUCACUGAAUAAAGAUAAAGAUAACUCGAGUCCAUCAUCCACUCUGUUCAGAUAUACAAAUCAUAAAAACCAGGAAAAGAGGCUGAUUAUUCAAUGCGCUCUGAGAGCGCAUUGAACAAUCAGCCUCUUUUCCUGUUUUUUAUGACGGAGGGAGGGCGGAACCUCGGACUCACCUGACGGCGUGCGUGGCAGCACCGCGACCGAACGCGGUCAUGCUAGCGAUGACCGCGGGGCUCGGGCGGUCGCUGAACACGUUGGUGUAGAAGCCUCCGCAGGGCAAACCCGAUCCGGUCUGGCACACCGCCACGCCCCCGGACGGGUAACUGAGACGCCAGCGCUAAGGGUUCAAGGGGGUCAGACGGAAUGGCACGCACAUGCACAAGCACAUGCACACACGCAAACACACACAUGCACACAAGCGCUGUACACACAUCGCUCUACGCUGAACUAUUUUGAAUAAAUAUUUUGUGAAUAUUACUUUUUUUAUUUUACCUAAUUUGAUCAAUUUCUCCUUCUUGCACCGUGGUCGGGAGACAAACGCAAUUUCGAUUCCUCUGUUUGUCUGGUACGUAUUUCGGAAUCGCCAAUAAAGAAAGCUGACUUUGA